rnacentral:rRNA from 1 species
ACACGCUGGCGGCGCGCCUAACACAUGCAAGUCGAACGAGAGAUGAAGAGCUUGCUCUUCAGAUCGAGUGGCGAACGGGUGAGUAACGCGUGAGGAACCUGCCUCAAAGAGGGGGACAACAGUUGGAAACGACUGCUAAUACCGCAUAAGCCCACGGCUCGGCAUCGAGCAGAGGGAAAAGGAGUGAUCCGCUUUGAGAUGGCCUCGCGUCCGAUUAGCUAGUUGGUGAGGUAACGGCCCACCAAGGCGACGAUCGGUAGCCGGACUGAGAGGUUGAACGGCCACAUUGGGACUGAGACACGGCCCAGACUCCUACGGGAGGCAGCAGUGGGGAAUAUUGCACAAUGGGGGGAACCCUGAUGCAGCGACGCCGCGUGGAGGAAGAAGGUCUUCGGAUUGUAAACUCCUGUUGUUGAGGAAGAUAAUGACGGUACUCAACAAGGAAGUGACGGCUAACUACGUG